CGACCUCAGGACAGGUGAGACUACCCGCUGAAUUUAAGCAUAUUAUUAAGCGGAGGAAAAGAAACUAACUAGGAUUCCCUUAGUAGCGGCGAGCGAACAGGGAUUAGCCCAGCACUGAAUCCCGCGAUCGUAACCGGUCGCCGGGAGAUGUGGUGUUUGGAAGGAUCCAUUAUCUGGCGAGUUCGCGGCGCGUUCAAGUCCAUCUUGAAUGGGGCCAUCGCCCAUAGAGGGUGCCAGGCCCGUAGCGACCGCUGCGGCUUGCUAGAGGAUCUCUUCUUAGAGUCGGGUUGCUUGAGAGUGCAGCCCUAAGUGGGUGGUAAACUCCAUCUAAGGCUAAAUAUAACCACGAGACCGAUAGCGAACAAGUACCGUGAGGGAAAGUUGAAAAGAACUUUGAAGAGAGAGUUCAAGAGUACGUGAAACCGUUCAGGGGUAAACCUGAGAAACCCGAAAGGUCGAAUGGGGAGAUUCAUUCGCGCCUGUUGUUGGGAUUUACUGACUGUGGAAACGGCGACGUUCGCGUUGGCUGUUCCCUUCGGUUCAUCUCCGGCUUCGGACGCGUGCACUUCUCCCCUAGUAGGUCGUCGCGAUCCGUUGGGUGCUGUUCUACGGUCUCGAGUGUAGCCCGUGAGCUCGGAUUUUCCGAUGUUUACGGACACUGGGUUUCCGAACAGCUCGCUCGACGGUUUACUGAUGGCGGGAGGCCGCGACUUAGUUCGCGUCCGGCCCGUGGCAAGUAUGUGAAUUGUGAUGGCGAUCGGACCUAGUGCCGAUUCCGUCCGUUUGCGACUGUUCGCCGCGGUGUUCUUGGACAGACCUCUUGAAACGCCGAUCAGCGACGCUAUUGCUUUGGGUACUUUCAGGACCCGUCUUGAAACACGGACCAAGGAGUCUAGCGUGUGCGCGAGUCAUUGGGAAUCACUAAACCUAAAGGCGCAAUGAAAGUAACGGUUCACUUUAUGUGAACUAAGGGAAGAUGGUCGGUCUCCAUGACUGACCCGCAUUCCCGGGGCGCCUCAUUCUCAUUGCGAGAGGAGGCGCACCAAGAGCGUACACGCUGGGACCCGAAAGAUGGUGAACUAUGCCUGGUCAGGACGAAGUCAGGGGAAACCCUGAUGGAGGUCCGUAGCGAUUCUGACGUGCAAAUCGAUCGUCGGAACUGGGUAUAGGGGCGAAAGACUAAUCGAACCAUCUAGUAGCUGGUUCCCUCCGAAGUUUCCCUCAGGAUAGCUGGCGCUCGUUGCAUACGAGUCUCAUCCGGUAAAGCGAAUGAUUAGAGGCAUUGGGGUCGAAACGACCUCAACCUAUUCUCAAACUUUAAAUGGGUGAGAUCUCCGGCUUGCUUGAAUGUGAAGCCGCGAGAUUUCGGAUCAGAGUGCCAAGUGGGCCAUUUUUGGUAAGCAGAACUGGCGCUGUGGGAUGAACCAAACGCCGAGUUAAAGCGCCUAAAUCGACGCUUAUGGGAUACCAUGAAAGGCGUUGGUAACUUAAGACAGCAGGACGGUGGCCAUGGAAGUCGGAAUCCGCCAAGGAGUGUGUAACAACUCACCUGCCGAAGUUACUAGCCCUGAAAAUGGAUGGCGCUGAAGCGUCGUGCUUAUACUCGGCCGUCAGUGGCAUGUGCGGUCGCCCUUCGGGGCGGUCAUGAAGCCCUGAUGAGUAGGAGGGUCGCGGAGGUGAGCGCAGAAGGGCUGGCCGUGAGGCCGUCUGGAGCCGCCUUCGGUGCAGAUCUUGGUGGUAGUAGCAAAUACUCCAGCGAGGCCCUGGAGAGCUGAGGUGGAGAAGGGUUUCGUGUGAACAGCCGUUGCACACGAGUCAGUCGAUCCUAAGCCCUAGGCGAAAGCCGAUGUUGAUGUGGCGUUGUUAAUCGUGUUUAUAAGUGGUGGCAGAAAUGCUAUGCAUCUUGACGCGUGACGCACGCCCGUCGGGCGAAAGGGAAUCCGGUUCCUAUUCCGGAACCCGGCAGCGGAACCGAAAUUAAACCGGGCCCUCGUAAGAGAGUUCGUCGGGGCAACCCAAAAGGACCCGGAGACGCCGUCGAGAGAUCCGGGAAGAGUUUUCUUUUCUGCAUAAGCGUUCGAGUUCCAUGGAAUCCUCUAGCAGGGAGAUAUGGUUUGGAACGCGAAGAGCACCGCAUUUGCGGCGGUGUCCGGAUCUUCUCCUCGGACCUUGAAAAUCCGGGAGAGGGCCACGUGUAGGCGUCGCGCCGGCUCGUACCCAUAUCCGCAGCUGGUCUCCAAGGUAAAGAGCCUCUAGUCGAUAGAAUAAUGUAGGUAAGGGAAGUCGGCAAAUUAGAUCCGUAACUUCGGGAUAAGGAUUGGCUCUGAGGAUUGUGGCGUGUCGGGCUUGUUGGGGAAGUGGGUCACGGCUAACGUACCGGGCCUGGGCGAGGUGAUGCGUUUCGCUUGCGUUACGUUUGAUCCGAGCUCGGUCCCGCGUCUUGGCCUCCCGCGGAAUCGUCAAGCUUCGAGACCCCGUGAGUGCUCGCAAGGGUGCUCUG